rnacentral:rRNA from 1 species
GACGAACGCUGGCGGCAGGCCUAACACAUGCAAGUCGAACGCUUCAGCAAUGAAGAGUGGCAGACGGGUGAGUAACGCGUGGGAACCUUCCCAGUGGUACGGAAUAGCCCAGGGAAACUUGGGGUAAUACCGUAUAAGCCCUUAGGGGGAAAGAUUUAUCGCCAUUGGAUGGGCCCGCGUCGGAUUAGCUUGUUGGUGAGGUAAAAGCUCACCAAGGCGACGAUCCGUAGCUGGUCUGAGAGGAUGAUCAGCCACACUGGGACUGAGACACGGCCCAGACUCCUACGGGAGGCAGCAGUGGGGAAUAUUGGACAAUGGGCGCAAGCCUGAUCCAGCCAUGCCGCGUGAGUGACGAAGGCCUUAGGGUUGUAAAGCUCUUUUGGCGGGGACGAUAAUGACGGUACCCGCAGAAUAAGCUCCGGCUAACUUCGUG